rnacentral:rRNA from 1 species
GAUGAACGCUAGCGACAGGCCUAACACAUGCAAGUCGAGGGGCAGCGGGGAGGUAGCAAUACCUUUGCCGGCGACCGGCGCACGGGUGAGUAACACGUAUGCAAUCCACCUGUAACAGGGGGAUAACCCGGAGAAAUCCGGACUAAUACCCCAUGAUAUGGGCUCUCCGCAUGGGGGGUCCAUUAAAGAGAGCAAUCUUGGUUACAGACGAGCAUGCGCUCCAUUAGCCAGUUGGCGGGGUAACGGCCCACCAAAGCGACGAUGGAUAGGGGUUCUGAGAGGAAGGUCCCCCCANAUUGGAACUGAGACACGGUCCAAACUCCUACGGGAGGCAGCAGUGAGGAAUAUUGGUCAAUGGUCGGCAGACUGAACCAGCCAAGUCGCGUGAGGGAAGACGGCCCUACGGGUUGUAAACCUCUUUUGUCGGAGAGUAAAGUACGCUACGUGUAGUGUAUUGCAAGUAUCCGAAGAAAAAGCAUCGGCUAACUCCGUG